AACGAACGCUGGCGGCAUGCCUAACACAUGCAAGUCGAACGAGACCUUCGUGUCUAGUUGCUCACGGGUGCGUAACGCGUGGGAACCUGCCCUAAGGCUCGGAAUAACUCCCCUAAAGGGGUGCUAACACCGGAUAACGUCCUCUGACCAAAGAUUUAUCGCCCUUGGAUGGGCCCGCGUUGGAUUAGCUAGUUGGUAGAGUAAAAGCCUACCAAGGCGACGAUACAUAGCUGGUCUGAGAGGAUGAUCAGCCACACUGGGACUGAGACACGGCCCAGACUCCUACGGGAGGCAGCAGUGCGGGAUAUUGGACCAUGGGCGAAAGCCUGAUCCAGCAAUGCCGCGUGAGUGAUGAAGGCCUUAGGGUUGUAAAGCUCUUUUACCCGGGAUGAUAAUGACAGUACCGGGAGAAUAAGCACCGGCUAACUCCGUG
rnacentral:rRNA from 1 species